UAUCAACUUUCGAUGGUAGGAUAGAGGCCUACCAUGGUGGUAACGGGUAACGGGGUGUUAGGGCACGACACCGGAGAGGGAGCCUGAGAAACGGCUACCACAUCCAAGGAUGGCAGCAGGCGCGCAAAUUACCCAAUCCCGACACGGGGAGGUAGUGACAAUAAAUAACAAUACGGGGUUCUUUUGGAUUUCGUAAUUGGAAUGAGUACAAUUUAAAUCUCUUAACGAGGAACAAUUGGAGGGCAAGUCUGGUGCCAGCAGCCGCGGUAAUUCCAGCUCCAAUAGCGUAUAUUAAAGUUGUUGCAGUUAAAAAGCUCGUAGUUGAAUUUCGGGAUCAUCAGGUUGGUCGUGCCAUCGGUAUGUACUAGCUUUGGUGGUUCCUACCUCUUGAAGAACCGUAAUGUCAUUAACUUGGUGUUGCGGGGAAUCAGGACUGUUACUUUGAAAAAAUUAGAGUGUUUAAAGCAGGCAAACGCUUGAAUACAUUAGCAUGGAAUAAUGAAAUAGGACGUUUGAUCUUAUUUUGUUGGUUUCUAGGAUCGACGUAAUGAUUAAUAGGGAUAGUUGGGGGCAUUAGUAUUCAAUUGUCAGAGGUGAAAUUCUUGGAUUUAUUGAAGACUAACUACUGCGAAAGCAUUUGCCAAGGAUGUUUUCAUUAAUCAAGAACGAAAGUUAGGGGAUCGAAGACGAUCAGAUACCGUCGUAGUCUUAACCAUAAACUAUGCCGACUAGGGAUCGGAUGAUGUUAAUUUUUUAAUGACUCAUUCGGCGCCUUACGGGAAACCAAAGUGUUUGGGUUCA
rnacentral:rRNA from 1 species